GACGAACGCUGGCGGCGUGCCUAAUACAUGCCAGUAGAACGCUGAAGGAGGAGCUUGCUCUUCUGGAUGAGUUGCGAACGGGUGAGUAACGCGUAGGUAACCUGCCUGGUAGCGGGGGAUAACUAUUGGAAACGAUAGCUAAUACCGCAUAACAGUAGAUGUUGCAUGACAUUUGCUUAAAAGGUGCAAUUGCACCACUACCAGAUGGACCUGCGUUGUAUUAGCUAGUUGGUGGGGUAACGGCUCACCAAGGCGACGAUACAUAGCCGACCUGAGAGGGUGGUCGGCCAAACUGGGACUGAGACACGGCCCAGACUCCCACGGGAGGCAGCAGUAGGGAAUCUUCGGAAAUGGACGGAAGUCUGACCGAGCAACGCCGCGGGAGUGAAGAAGGUUUUCGGAUCGUAAAGCUCUGUUGUAAGAGAAGAACGAGUGUGAGAGUGGAAAGUUCAUACUGUGACGGUAUCUUACCAGAAAGGGACGGCUAACUACGUG
rnacentral:rRNA from 1 species